rnacentral:rRNA from 1 species
CCUACGGGAGGCAGCAGUGAGGAAUAUUGGUCAAUGGGCUUACGCCUGAACCAGCCAAGUCGCGUGAGGGAAGACUGCCCUAUGGGUUGUAAACCUCUUUUGUCAGGGAGCAACGCCGGCUACGUGUAGCCGGACUGAGAGUACCUGAAGAAAAAGCAUCGGCUAACUCCGUGCCAGCAGCCGCGGUAAUACGGAGGAUCCGAGCGUUAUCCGGAUUUAUUGGGUUUAAAGGGAGCGUAGGUGGAUUGUUAAGUCAGUUGUGAAAGUUUGCGGCUCAACCGUAAAAUUGCAGUUGAAACUGGCAGUCUUGAGUGAGGGAGAAGUAUGCGGAAUGCGUGGUGUAGCGGUGAAAUGCAUAGAUAUCACGCAGAACUCCGAUUGCGAAGGCAGCAUACCGGCGCUCAACUGACGCUCAUGCACGAAAGUGUGGGUAGCGAACAGGAUUAGAUACCCCUGUAGUC